CUUCUUUCGCCAUUACACUAACACGUUUCAAAAUCAAGAUUAAGACUGAACGUUGCCAUUGCAGCCAAAGGUGAAAUGGUACCAGAAAUCGUGUGUGAAUGUAGUAUCUCUGAGGCCGUAUAUGAGCGGGCUGAGAAAUUUGGGGAAGAUAAUGAGGCCUACGAAGAGAGCGUAGUGAAAAUGAAGCUCCAUGUCGGGCUUUAAGUUCAACAGGCCGCCUGUGUAAAUCAUGUUGAAGAGUGUGGAGGUGAGACACAAACACAGCUGAAACAUAUGAAGCAUCACCGUAUUCCGAGCCUUGCUGGCUUCCCGAAAAGUUGUGGAAGCUGACCUGACGGCAAAAAUGAUUGCGAUUAUUGGGACAUGACGAAGCUGCUGUUCUCCAGCCUGACGAAGAGCAACAGCUGGACGAAGGAGUCCAAGGAGGCCAUGGACCACAUGACAACGAUGGCGAUGCGCGUUGUCCUGAUGGUGACAAUGUUGGCGUGCCUGAGCGGUAAACAAAUGGCCACGUAGCGCUCCAGCGACAUCACGGCCAGGUUUAGCGGGGACGUUUUCAAAGCGAUGGCCGCCAGUUGCACCACCAGCAUGCAGAGGUGAUUGACCAUGGUGACUAUGGUGAUGGCAAAGAUGUACAGCAGCAUGGUGAGCAGCAGCUGGAGGGUGUCGGUGAGGAGCAAGUGGCCGAAGAGGAUGUAGCGAGAAGACUCCAGCAGUGUGGGGACACGAUGAAGCUGCUGUUCUCCAGCCUGACAAAGAGCAACAGCUGGAUAAAGGAGUCCAAGGAGGCCAUGGACCACAUGACAACGAUGGCGAUGCGCGUUGUCCUGAUGGUGACAAUGUUGGCGUGCCUGAGCGGUAAACAAAUGGCCACGUAGCGCUCCAGUGACAUCACGGCCAGGUUAAGCGGGGACAUUUUCAUUGUGACGGCUGCCAGUUGCACCACCAGCAUGCAGAGGUGAUUGAUCAUGGUGGCGGUGGUGAUGGCAAAGAUAUACAGCAGCAUGGCCAGCAGCAGCUGGAGGGACUCGGUGAGGAGCAAGUGGCCGAAGAGGAUGUAGCGAGAAGACUCCAGCAGGUGAGGCUUUCUCAGCAGGGUCAACAACAUGACCCCGUUGAUGUAGAUGAAAAGAAGACAUGGCAGUAUGGACACCAGCACUUUCAUGUGUUCCUGGAGCGUCGGCACCUGGUUUACUUCAGACGACACGUUCAUGACUGCAGCACCUGGAAAAAAACGGCACUCUUGUUAACAUAUCCACCCACUACACAUUGUAUCAAUGAACCUACUAGUAUGAAUACUUACAUGUCAAUGAUGUCAGCCAACUUCAUGAAACUAUGAUGGUUUAGUGUCUUCUUGUGUCUUUCAUCAUCUAUGUGGCAGCAUCCUCACUGAUGUAAUUGUAACCAACAACCAAUCAAAACUAAGCACUGCUUACGACUGCACUAGGGGAUUAAAAGAUAUGCUAACA